GCUUGCUCUUAUGAAGUUAGCGGCGGACGGGUGAGUAACACGUGGGUAACCUACCCAUAAGACUGGGAUAACUCCGGGAAACCGGGGCUAAUACCGGAUAAUAUUUUGAACUGCAUAGUUCGAAAUUGAAAGGCGGCUUCGGCUGUCACUUAUGGAUGGACCCGCGUCGCAUUAGCUAGUUGGUGAGGUAACGGCUCACCAAGGCGACGAUGCGUAACCGACCUGAGAGGGUGAUCGGCCACACUGGGACUGACACACGGCCCACACUCCUACGGGAGGCAGCAGUAGGGAAUCUUCCGCAAUGGACGAAAGUCUGACGGACCACCGCCGCGUGAGUGAUGAAGGCUUUCGGGUCGUAAAACUCUGUUGUUAGGAAAGAACAAGUGCUAAUUGAAUAAGCUGGCACCUUGACGGUACCUAACCAGAAAGCCACGGCUAACUACGUGCCACCAGCCGCGGUAAUACGUAGGUGGCAAGCGUUAUCCGGAAUUAUUGGGCGUAAAGCGCGCGCAGGUGGUUUCUUAAGUCUGAUGUGAAAGCCCACGGCUCAACCGUGGAGGGUCAUUGGAAACUGGGAUACUUGAGUGCAAAAAAGGAGAGUGUAAUUCCAUGUGUAGCGGUGAAAUGCAUAUAGAUAUGGAGGAACACCAGUGGCGAAAGCUACUUUCUGGUCUGUAACUGACACUGAGGCGCGAAAGCGUGGGGAGCAAACAGGAUUACAUACCCUGGUAGUCCACGCCGUAAACAAUGAGUGCUGAGUGUUAGAGGGUUUCCGCCCUUUAGUGCUGAAGUUAACGCAUUAAUCACUCCGCCUGGGGAGUACGG
rnacentral:rRNA from 1 species